rnacentral:rRNA from 1 species
UACGGAGGGUGCGAGCGUUGUCCGGAAUCAUUGGGCGUAAAGAGCGUGUAGGCGGCCCGGUAAGUCCGCUGUGAAAGUCGGGGGCUCAACCCUCGAAUGCCGGUGGAUACUGUCGGGCUAGAGUGCGGAAGAGGCGAGUGGAACUCCUGGUGUAGCGGUGGAAUGCGCAGAUAUCAGGAAGAACACCGACGGCGAAGGCAGCUCGCUGGGACGGUACUGACGCUGAGGCGCGAAAGCGUGGGGAGCAAACAGG